rnacentral:rRNA from 4 species
UGGGGAAUAUUGGACAAUGGGCGAAAGCCUGAUCCAGCCAUGCCGCGUGUGUGAAGAAGGUCUUCGGAUUGUAAAGCACUUUAAGUUGGGAGGAAGGGCAGUUACCUAAUACGUAAUUGUUUUGACGUUACCGACAGAAUAAGCACCGGCUAACUCUGUG